AAGUCGUAACAAGGUUUCCGUAGGUGAACCUGCGGAAGGAUCAUUAACACGUAUCCAAACGUUAAACCCCCCCCGUGAACCUUCAUCGUGCUCUAGUGGGCCACUGAUAAACACAGCAAUUCCUGGUAAAUCAUUGUCUGAACAAGCCUUUGAGUCAGGAACCUCUGUGCAGUGCGAGCUACACCCACUAUAGAAGCGCUAGUUCCAUCGGCAUUGUUUCCCCAAGCAGCCAGUGCGUGAAAGUGGCAACUGACUGUGCAAGGAUAACGCUUAACGAUUUUGCAGCCGCAACACGCGGGCAGAGCUUUGCCAAAGGGUCCCCAUGCCCCCUAAUAACCCCACAGUUUAAUGUGAAGCUCAAUGUAAUACAUUGGGUAAAAAAACCGAACAACUGUUAACAAUGGAUAUCUGUUCCC
rnacentral:misc_RNA from 1 species